rnacentral:rRNA from 1 species
AUUGAACGCUGGCGGCAGGCCUAACACAUGCAAGUCGAGCGGUAGCACAGAGAGCUUGCUCUCGGGUGACGAGCGGCGGACGGGUGAGUAAUGUCUGGGAAACUGCCUGAUGGAGGGGGAUAACUACUGGAAACGGUAGCUAAUACCGCAUAACGUCGCAAGACCAAAGUCGGGGACCUUCGGGCCUCAUGCCAUCAGAUGUGCCCAGGUGGGAUUAGCUAGUAGGUGGGGUAACGGCUCACCUAGGCGACGAUCCCUAGCUGGUCUGAGAGGAUGACCAGCCACACUGGAACUGAGACACGGUCCAGACUCCUACGGGAGGCAGCAGUGGGGAACAUUGCACAAUGGGCGCAAGCCUGAUGCAGCCAUGCCGCGUGUGUGAAGAAGGCCUUCGGGUUGUAAAGCACUUUCAGCGGGGAGGGAGGCGGUGAGGUUAAUAACCUCAUCGAUUGACGUUACCCGCAGAAGAAGCACCGGCUAACUCCGUGCCAGCAGCCGCAGUAAAAC